CCUACGGGUGGCAGCAGUGAGGAAUAUUGGUCAAUGGACGAGAGCCUGAACCAGCCAAGUAGCGUGAAGGAUGACUGCCCUAUGGGUUGUAAACUUCUUUUAUCUGGGAAUAAAAUGUUCCACGUGUGGGCUUUUGUAUGUACCAUAUAGAUAAGGAUAGGCUAACCCCGUGCCAGCAGCCGCGGUAAGACGGGGGAUCCGAGCCGUUUCCGGAUUUAUUGGGUUUAAAGGGAGCGUAGGUGGAUUGUUAAGGCAGGUGGGAAAGUUUGCGGCUUAACCGUAAAAUUGCAGUUGACACUGGGAGUCUUGAGUGCAGCAGGGGUGGGCGGAAUUCGUGGUGUAGCGGUGAAAUGCUUAGAGAUCACGAAGAACUCCGAUUGCGAAGGCAGUUCACUGGACUGCAACUGACGCUGAGGCUCGAAAGUGUGGGUAUCAAACAGGAUUAGAUACCCGAGUAGUC
rnacentral:rRNA from 1 species